rnacentral:rRNA from 1 species
AUUGAACGCUGGCGGCAGGCCUAACACAUGCAAGUCGAGCGGAUGAAGGGAGCUUGCUCCUGGAUUCAGCGGCGGACGGGUGAGUAAUGCCUAGGAAUCUGCCUGGUAGUGGGGGAUAACGUCCGGAAACGGGCGCUAAUACCGCAUACGUCCUGAGGGAGAAAGUGGGGGAUCUUCGGACCUCACGCUAUCAGAUGAGCCUAGGUCGGAUUAGCUAGUUGGUGGGGUAAAGGCCUACCAAGGCGACGAUCCGUAACUGGUCUGAGAGGAUGAUCAGUCACACGUGAAAUGAGACACGGUCCAGACUCCUAAGGGAGGCAGCAGUGGGGAAUAUUGGACAAUGGGCGAAAGCCUGAUCCAGCCAUGCCGCGUGUGUGAAGAAGGUCUUCGGAUUGUAAAGCACUUUAAGUUGGGAGUAAGGGCAGUAAGUUAAUACCUUGCUGUUUGGACGUUACCAACAGAAUAAGCACCGGCUAACUUCGU